AUACAAAGUUCGAUUUAUUAUAUUUUAACUUGCGUGGCUUCAUUAAGUAUGGUAAUUUUCUUGUUAAUUAUAUUUAAAAAUUUACUAUAUAUAUUUAUAAGUAGGUACUCGAAUAAUGCAUUCCCCUACACCCCUACUUUCCCCGACGGUGGCUUUUAGGCUGAACACCGUGCAGCACUUAAAUUUAACUUGACAAUUAAAUAUCCUUGAAAUUAAUACGUCGUAAAGGUAUAUUAUAUGUAUGUGCAGAU